rnacentral:rRNA from 1 species
CCCUUAGAUGUUCUGGGCCGCACGCGCGCUACACUGACAGAGCCAACGAGUUCUUCACCUUGGCCGGAAGGUCUGGGUAAUCUUGUUAAACUCUGUCGUGCUGGGGAUAGAGCAUUGCAAUUAUUGCUCUUCAACGAGGAAUGCCUAGUAAGCGCGUGUCAUCAGCACGCGUUGAUUACGUCCCUGCCCUUUGUGCACACCGCCCGUCGCUACUACCGAUUGAAUGGCUCAGUGAGGCCUUCGGACUGGCUCAGGGAGGUUGGCAACGACCACCCCGAGCCGGAAAGUUCGUCAAACUCGGUCAUUUAGAGGAAGUAAAAGUCGUAACA